rnacentral:rRNA from 1 species
UACUCGAGUGGCGAACGGGUGAGUAACACGUGGGUGAUCUGCCCUGCACUUCGGGAUAAGCCUGGGAAACUGGGUCUAAUACCGGAUAGGAGCCAUUUUUAGUGUGAUGGUUGGAAAGUUUUUUCGGUGUAGGAUGAGCUCGCGGCCUAUCAGCUUGUUGGUGGGGUAAUGGCCUACCAAGGCGGCGACGGGUAGCCGGCCUGAGAGGGUGGACGGCCACAUUGGGACUGAUAUACGGCCCAG